GGGCCCGCACAAGCGGUGGAGCAUGUGGUUUAAUUCGAUGCAACGCGAAGAACCUUACCAGGCCUUGACAUCCCCGGAACUUUCUAGAGAUAGAUUGGUGCCUUCGGAGACCCGGUGACAGGUGCUGCAUGGCUGUCGUCAGCUCGUGUCGUGAGAUGUUGGGUUAAGUCCCGCAACGAGCGCAACCCUUGUCCCUAGUUGCCAGCAUUAAGUUGGGCACUCUAGGGAGACUGCCGGUGAUAAGCCGGAGGAAGGUGGGGAUGACGUCAAGUCCUCAUGGCCUUUAUGUCCAGGGCUACACACGUGUUACAAUGGGGGUGACAAAGAGUGGCCAAGCUGCGAAGCUGCGCAAAUCUCAAAAAAACCCUCUCAGUUCGGAUCGCAGUCUGCAACUCGACUGCGUGAAGUUGGAAUCGCUAGUAAUCG
rnacentral:rRNA from 1 species